rnacentral:rRNA from 1 species
CAGCCGCCGCGGUAAUACGAAGGGUGCAAGCGUUAAUCGGAAUUACUGGGCGUAAAGCGUGCGUAGGCGGUGAGUUAAGUCUGCUGUGAAAUCCCCGGGCUCAACCUGGGAAUGGCAGUGGAUACUGGCUCGCUAGAGUGUGUCAGAGGAUGGUGGAAUUCCCGGUGUAGCGGUGAAAUGCGUAGAGAUCGGGAGGAACAUCAGUGGCGAAGGCGGCCAUCUGGGACAACACUGACGCUGAGGCACGAAAGCGUGGGGAGCAAACAGGAUUAGAUACCCCGGUAGUCCCUGUCUCUUAUAA